UACGAAGGGGCUAGCGUUGUUCGGAAUUACUGGGCGUAAAGCGCACGUAGGCGGACAUUUAAGUCAGGGUGAAAUCCCGGGCUCGAACCCCGGAACGGCCUUUGAUACUGGGUGUCUUGAGUUCGGAAGAGGUGAGUGGAAUUGCGAGUGUAGAGGUGAAAUUCGUAGAUAUUCGCAGGAACACCAGUGCGAAGGCGGCUCACUGGUCCGAUACUGACGCUGAGGUGCGAAAGCGAUGGGGAGCAACGGGG
rnacentral:rRNA from 1 species